UACGAAGGGGACUAGCGUUGUUCGGAAUUACUGGGCGUAAAGCGCACGUAGGCGGAUUUGUAAGUCAGGGGUGAAAUCCCGGGGCUCAACCUCGGAACUGCCUUUGAUACUGCAAAUCUCGAGUCCGAUAGAGGUGGGUGGAAUUCCUAGUGUAGAGGUGAAAUUCGUAGAUAUCGGGAGGAACACCAGUGGCGAAGGCGACUUCCUGGCCUGUUCUUGACGCUGAGGCGCGAAAGCUAGGGGAGCAAACGGG
rnacentral:rRNA from 1 species